rnacentral:rRNA from 1 species
UACGAAGGGGGCUAGCGUUGCUCGGAAUUACUGGGCGUAAAGCGCACGUAGGCGGUCUUUUAAGUCGGGGGUGAAAUCCUGGAGCUCAACUCCAGAACUGCCUUCGAUACUGGAAGACUUGAGUCCGGGAGAGGUGAGUGGAAUUCCGAGUGUAGAGGUGAAAUUCGUAGAUAUUGGGAAGGAAACACCGGUGGCGAAGGCGGCUCUCUGGACCA